rnacentral:misc_RNA from 1 species
CCGGCUUGGUGUUGGGCAUGGUUUUUCAGUCACCGGCCUCAAAGAUAGUGACGGCGUCCCAGAUGGAACCGGUACGAGGAGCUUCUAAUCAAGCAUAUACGCGGCGUGAAUCUGCGGGCGGCGGUCUUUAAUCACUACUCUUCGGAGUACUUUCUUUCAGUGUUGACCUCGGAUCAGGUAGGGAUACCCGCUGAACUUAA